rnacentral:tRNA from 1 species
ACUCACGUAGCUUACUGAAAGCAUAACACUGAAGAUGUUAAGACGAACCCGCAUAAGGUUCCGAGAGCA